UACGUAGGGCGCAAGCGUUGUCCGGAAUUAUUGGGCGUAAAGAGCUCGUAGGCGGCUUGUCACGUCGGGUGUGAAAGCCCGGGGCUUAACCCCGGGUCUGCAUUCGAUACGGGCAGGCUAGAGUGUGGUAGGGGAGAUCGGAAUUCCUGGUGUAGCGGUGAAAUGCGCAGAUAUCAGGAGGAACACCCGUGGCGAAAGCGGCUCUCUGGGACGGUACUGACGCUGAGACGCGAAAGCGUGGGGAGCAAACAGG
rnacentral:rRNA from 1 species